GGGUAGGUGGCCGAGUGGUUAAAGGCGUCAGACUGUAAAUCUGAUCCGCAUCGCGGUUCGGUGGUUCGAAUCCAUCCCUGCCCACCA
rnacentral:tRNA from 1 species